rnacentral:rRNA from 1 species
AACGAACGUUAGCGGCGCGCUUAACACAUGCAAGUCGCACGAGAAAGGCUUCGGCCCCGGUAAAGUGGCGCACGGGUGAGUAACACGUGGGUAAUCUUCCCUCGAGCGGGGGAUAACAUUCCGAAAGGAGUGCUAAUACCGCAUAAGACCACGGCUUCGAAAGAAGCUGAGGUCAAAGCUGGCCUCUAUAUAUAAGCUAGCACUUGAGGAUGAGCCCGCGGCCCAUCAGGUAGUUGGUAGGGUAACGGCCUACCAAGCCUAAGACGGGUAGCUGGUCUGAGAGGAUGAUCAGCCACACUGGAACUGAGACACGGUCCAGACUCCUACGGGAGGCAGCAGUGGGGAAUCUUGCGCAAUGGGCGAAAGCCUGACGCAGCGACGCCGCGUGAGUGGUGAAGGCCUUCGGGUUGUAAAGCUCUGUGGGGAGGGACGAAUAAGUAGAAGCUAACACCUUCUAUGAUGACGGUACCUCCUUAGCAAGCACCGGCUAACUCUGUG